rnacentral:rRNA from 1 species
CCUACGGGGAGCAGCAGUGAGGAAUAUUGGUCAAUGGGCGAGAGCCUGAACCAGCCAAGUCGCGUGAGGGAAUACUGUCCUAUGGGUUGUAAACCUCUUUUGUCAGGGAACAAAAGCCGGACGUGUCCGGCUGUGAGAGUACCCGGAGAAAAAGCAUCGGCUAACUCCGUGCCAGCAGCCGCGGUAAUACGGAGGAUGCGAGCGUUAUACGGAUUUAUUGGGUUUAAAGGGGGCGCAGGCGGGCUUUUAAGUCAGCGGUAAAAGCCCGGGGGUCAACCCCAGCGAGCCGUUGAAACUGGGGGGCUGGAGUUGGAGAGAGGUACGCGGAAUGCGCGGUGUAGCGGUGAAAUGCAUAGAUAUCGCGCAGAACCCCGAUUGCGAAGGCAGCGUACCGGCUCAAAACUGACGCUGAGGCACGAAAGCGUGGGUAUCGAACAGGAUUAGAUACCCGGGUAGUC